GGCAAUACUGCUCUGGUUCCUCUUCCUAACCUCCAGAGUCUGGCGUCUGUGCAGUCUGGUGUGGCUGGUGUGCCUCCCGAGGCUUUUUGGUGUGUUAGUCCUGCUGUAAGCAUAAGUGUGGCUGUCUCUCCCUCCCUUGGCGUCUUGAGUGCAGACCGGAGUUAUGGUCUCCUGCUUCGAGUUUGUUACGCCACUCGGUGUUGAGUUGGUAGAGUGCGCAACGGCCGUGCGUCCUCCCCUCCUCUCCGCUUCACUGUUGGAAACCGCCCUCUGCCGGUGUUAUGUAUAUUUGAGUUCAUACUACUGUUGAUUUCAGCAUAAUUUCAAAUGGGUAAUGUUUGUUUUUUUAUGGUAUUUACAUUGCAGGCCCUUAAAGGCCAGGCUGUGUGCCAUGGUGUAGUGCCUCCUGUUUUUUUUUUACAAGCCAUCAGUCUCCACCUCCUGGCGCUUGCUGCUGUUCUGUCUUUAUUGUGGUAAAUCUCCAUAAAGGAUCCCUGUUAUUUAUAUCAUAAAUCAAUGACACUG